CCCCUAGUAACUGCGAGUGAAGCGGGAAAAGCUCAAAUUUAAAAUCUGGCGGCUUCCGUCGUCCGAGUUGUAAUUUAGAGAAGCGUUUUCCGCGCCGGACCGUGUACAAGUCUCCUGGAACGGAGCGUCAUAGAGGGUGAGAAUCCCGUCUUUGACACGGACCGCCGGUGCUUUGCGAUACGCUCUCGAAGAGUCGAGUUGUUUGGGAAUGCAGCUCAAAAUGGGUGGUGAACUCCAUCUAAAGCUAAAUAUUGGCGAGAGACCGAUAGCGAACAAGUACCGUGAGGGAAAGAUGAAAAGCACUUUGGAAAGAGAGUGAAACAGUACGUGAAAUUGCUGAAAGGGAAACGCUUGAAGUCAGUCGCGUCUGCCGGAAUUCAGCCCUCGUGGUGUACUUUCCGGCCGACGGGCCAGCAUCACUUUUGGGCGUCGGAAAAGGGCGGGAGGAAUGUGGCACCUUCGGGUGUGUUAUAGCCUUCCGUCGUAUACGGCGUCUGGGAGUGAGGAACGCCUAUUA
rnacentral:rRNA from 1 species